AACUCUAAGCACAUUUACUAGAGAGUAUGCCUCACUGAACACAGUGGGACUUUCAAGUAAACAUUCAUAGGCUUUCUUUGUAAGUUUAAUUUCUUUGGAACAAGUAGAUUAAUAGCAAACACCUUAAAGUUCUUGUUCUUAACAUACAUUUGGAAUAUGUAUUUAUUUAAUUAUUAUCUUGAAAGUUGCUCAGAGUGGCAUGUCUUUUAUCUCUCAUUUGAUUAUCCUCUGUGAACACUUCAAGCUACACUAAUACGACACUGAAAACUAGGCAGAGCAAGCAUGGUUUAAAAUAAAUGAAAGCUUUGCAACCCCUGUUUAAACAAAUCACUGGAGUCUUGGGGGAGUGUAUUUUAGCACUAACAUUUUGUAAGUUAAUUGCUUUAAAAGUGGUAUAGGAGAAUUGACUUAACAGCUCUUAUGACUCGGAAUGGAGUUAAGUAGGAAAGUUGGGAAAGGGAAAAAUGCAGACAUUCCACAGUAUAUUUAAUGUUCUUUACAAUCUGCCAAAGUGGGUGAUCAGGUAACAGGGGACUUGGAGGAAAACUACACUAUCUGAACCAUGCUUCUUUCUGCAAAUGAAGAGAUUCUAGCAUGCCAACUGGCUGGAGGACAGAGGGGAAAAGAAUGAUGAGUGCAGCUCAAAACAUUAUUUAAUGCUGUUGCCUUGCAGUUUGCCUAGCGCCGAAAUAUACCAGCAUUAGAGGACAAUGUCAAAGGAACAGCAAAAGAGUAUUUUCAGAAAGCUAUUUGUUUUGAGUUCUCCUGCUUUCAAGACUGUAAUAAUAAGAUGGAGCAACAUAUUUGGAAACGAAAGGACAGAAAACCUGGAGAAUCAAUUAACACUGCUGAGAAUUUAAAGAUCCAUCAAAGUGGAAGAGAGAGAAGCAAGUGAGAAACUGUGCAAUACAGAUGGGAUCCAAGCAACUGGGACAUUUCCAAAAUAGAACUCUUUGAAGGUUAGGGAACCUUCCCAAGCAGCAGCCAGAAGGAAAGAUCAGCAGAGCCUAUCAAUGGACAAAAGAACAUUAGUCCUAUGCAAGGAGUCCUUUAAAUGUAGCAAUUGAUGAAACACAAAAACAUCACCUGUGAUUUUUAGUUAUUUUCUUUUUCUUUUUAAUAGCAAAAAAAUAGAGUGAUGUCACAAUAGCAACAGACAAUGCUACUGUAUGGAAAUGUUUAGGGAAAUAUUGCAUAGAAGUGGCAUUCUAUGCAAAUGGCAGGUGCAUAGGUCAAUUGCUUUCAAAAUGCAAAACUGCAUCCAAAUGUGCAUAUUAUGAGAAUUGUGUACAAAACAAAUUUUCAAGAGGAUGUGGCAAAUGUGGAAAGUAUGGGAAACUGAGAAACUGUAACCGACAGAUUUGUCCUUCUCUAUAAAUCAAAAUUACAUUGUUUUUGCACACAGAGCCGCUUUGGAUGUAGCCGUUCGCCUGGUACCCAUAGGCAAAAAGGGACUGCAUGCAGGUUUGCCUAUUCCCUCCAGGUGGCAGGUGGAGGGCUUGAAUCUCCAGAAAUAUGGCAACCCAAGGAGUGUGCAUGCACCCCUGGCACAAGGUGUAGGUCUGCAGAACAAGCAGAACAUGUGAAGGAGGAGCCAAGUUAUGCUGUCUUCAUGGCCUGCAGCAAGUCCUGGAUGGCCUUUUGAUCUUCUUGAGGAGAUGAGGAUGAAGACGGACUGAAGGAGACUGGAGUGGUGAGAGACAGGAAUGGAGA